AUAUUCUUUCACUUUCCGGUAUACAAAUUAAUAGUAGGGGAGCCCAAGAGGGGAUUUUUGCAGUUACUUAAGCGUGUCAGAAAACUAUAUGGGGAGAAAGAUUGCACCUUUUUAUGUACCCCUACCAAAUAUGAGCCCUUAAUAUGGAGGCGUGCGUUGGGGGGGGUUCGUCAGAUUAGAGAAAAAAAAACGAUCCUUCGGGAAACUCGAGCGCGUCAGAUUAAGAGAUGGUAAAUUAAAUACAUGAAGACGAGUGUAUAUUUCAAUAUUCUGACAGUUUGAGGGUGGCUUAGAGAAAUAGCAGGGUGACAAAUCUGUAAAAAAAAACGUCACCUUGAAAUACUCGAGCGCGAUAGAUUUUUUUUUCAUUUUAAAGGUAAUUCUGUCAGAAUCACGAAAAUCAUAUAAUCUGACAAUUUCCGUGGGGCGAUACAGGUAAAAUCGUCGACAGAAGGUCCGCUUUUAAUUCGUUUUUUUUUUUUUUGCUAACAUAGUCGUCGCCAAAGCAGCGGGUAAGUGCCGCUAUUUUUUUUUUUUUAUAAUCAAUCUUUCUAACAUCCAUUGUAAAAAUGAGUGACGUUAGUGUAAAAUGUGUUUUCUGUGGCGAAGAAAUUUGUGGAAAAUUCAAAAAGUUUACUCCACAAACUUUAAAUAAAUGUAUAACUGUUUUGGAGUACCGCAAAGCGAAGCCGGUUGUCAAGAAAUCGAGCAACGUUUAUGCUACUGUUGAAUUGUCAGAAGAAAACUCAUUGAACGAUGGCUAUCAUACCCAGUGUUAUAAGCUUUUUACAGCACUUAAAAUACCAUCUGAUUUUGGAAGACAAAUUCAAAUUGGUACAGAAAGUGAGCAGGCACGUGUUAAUGUACCAGAACUUUCUGGAGAGAGUCUCGUGAUAUCUACUCCUAGCACUUUCAUAAUAGGGGCUGUUGAUACAAUAGACGAGUAAGUGUUAAUGUAAUAGAUUAUUUAUUAUAUUGUAUUAAAUUGUGAUGUUGAAAAAAAAUUAUUCCUUUCAAUCUACUUACAUAUAUAAAUAAAAAUUAAUCGCCAAAAUGUAUGUACGCUCAUAACUUUCAUACGACUGAACCAAUAUUGAUGAAAUUUUAAGAGGUUGUUCGUUGUGGAUCGGGAAAGGUUUAGAAAUAAAGAACCGGUAUGUUUUUCAUGAGGAAAAGUCGGAAAAUUUAACAAUUCCAAAAAGUUAAUUUUUUCCAUACAAAUGUUUUUUUUCAAUUUUUUUGUUUUGUUCUUCAAUUAUUUAAAUCUUUCAAAUUUGGCGUUUGCUUCCAAAAUUUUUGAAAAUUAUUCCGUGAAAAUGUUAUGUGUUUUUCACACAAAGUGAUCAAUUACAGCUUUAAUGAAAAUCAAUAAGGUUCAUGGACCUUGCGGACACCACAACCCCACUUCGGUUAAGAGACAUUUUUGUAGAAAAUUAAAUUUGGUACGACUUUUAUUGUCAAAUAUACACGAUUAAUCCAUAUUUUCAAUAUAACGCCAAAUAUUUAAAAUCUUUAUUUCUUUUCAUUUUAAAAGUCUCACAAUAAUUUUCAGAGCGGAUCCAUCAACCAACCCUGAACCAUACUCGGAUGAUUUUGAUGAUCCGUCAGAUGCGGAUGAGCAGGUCACGAAUGAAAAUUUGCUAUUAAGGGAGUGUUUUAUUUGCAACAAAUCACGGAAACGCCGUCUUGGCCGCGUUGAGCCAUUGGCGGUUAAUAAAAUACGGACAAUUGAAUUGUUAAAAAGUGCAGCUACAGAGCACAGCGAUAUUGAAAUGUUGGAAAAAAUCAGUUCUUUCGCGGAUACUUCUACAAUUCCAUAUCAUAAAUGCUGUAAGGAUGUUUACUUGCGAGAAAUUAACAAAAAAGCAGAAAGCGAUUUCGUUAAAAAACGAAAGGCUUCAAAUACAGCUUACGAAUUGUUAUGUGAAAUGUUGGAAGAAUACGUUGUGAAGAAAAACGAAUGUCUGUUUUUUCAUCACGUUAAAAAAGAAUAUCAAAAAUUAUUGAUUGAACAAUGUAAGUUGUUAUCAGACUCUAUAAGCAGCACCUCAUUUUCAGAUCGCCACUUAGAAAGUAAAAUCAUGGACACUUUCUCAAAGACCAUCAAGACUAUUUAUGCUGAAAAAAGGAAAUUUCUUGCUCCGAUUUCAGCUGUCUAUGAAAGAGACAAUUCGCUCAGUUGCAGCACAACUUCGAGAAGAAAUUUUAAAUUGUACGACAACAAAACUGCCUGACGAUUGCACUGCUGAAGAUUUGAUAAAAGGUGAAUUAGAUUAUGUGCCAGAGCUUUUAAUCUGCUUCUUGGAAAUGGGUGAUGUUUCGCAUUUAUCCAGGAAAAAACGUCAAAUGAGGAAAACAAAUAACGAUCUUACGCUUUUUUCAAUUGGACAGGAUAUGAUCUACGCUGCUUCAAACCAUAAAAUCAAAACUUCCAAGCAUACUACUUUGGGUCUAGCAGUCAAAAGCUUAUGUAAUAGCAAAAAAAUAAUAAACUUGCUGUCCAGAUAUGGGCACUGUUGUUCAUAUACUGCAUUAGAAGAAUUGGAGACUGAGUUAACUUUUUCAACGGCUAACAGUCAUUACGUGUGCCCCGAAGAUAUUCUACGUCGUCCGGACUUAAAUACGGCAGUUGCCUUCGAUAACUUUGAUCGCUUCGUUGAAACACUGAAUGGAAAAGAUACUCUUCAUGACACGGUGGGGAUAAUUUUUCAAAACAUUACUCCAAAUGAGGAUACGAUGUCUAAAAUACCUUUAGCUGCUAAUGAAAUCAAAAAUCUAGCUCCUAGUCAAACUGUAUCCAGAAAUCCGUCGAGAAAUCGAAAACGCCGAACUUUUGAAGAAAUAACUUUCGAAAUGCGUCCAUUCACAAAAAAAAAUUAAAAAUAGCAACUUGGCAUCAGCUUGACAUUUCUGCACUCAACAAAGUUCCUGGAAGUUUAAUUACAUCAAAGCAAUUGGAUGUGAUGUGGAUGUUAUCGUAUAAGCUCAAUGUACGUGAUACUCCAAUGUGGGUUGGAUAUAAUAGUAAAAUUGUUAUUGACAAUUCACCUGUCCAAAAAAUUUCGUAUUUGACUCCCAUAAACGAGUCUCCCACUAAGCAUUCCACCGUUUUGAAAACUUUAGAAUUGUGUCAAGAAGUUGCAAACGAAUGUAAUGCUCCAUACAUUCAGGUUACAUACGAUUUAGCAAUAGCUCGAACAGGUUAUUGCAUUCAAACUCAAGAAUCGCCGAAGUUCGAUAAUAUUUUUAUUCACUUGGGGCUUUCCAUAUCGAAAUGGCUUUUUUUAAAGCAGUUGGCACUUUUAUUGAAGAAUGUGGACUCACUAAUAUCAUGACAGAAUCUGACCUAAUUGCUGAAGGAUCAGUUUCAGGUUUUAUUACCGGAAAAAAUUAUAAUAGGUGUAAAAGAUUACACUCUAUAAUGGCGUUAUCGCUGCAAAUAUUUCACUUUAAUUCUUUUAUGUUGAACACUAAUUUCACUGUUGAAGAUUCUGUAAUUGAAUAUCUUACUGUCUUGUCACAACUGGAAUAUAACUCGCCUCAAAUACAGCACCCUGAAACACAAAAUCUUCUCCACUUAUAUGAUCAAUAUACAGCAGAAACAUUACAAGGCAGGCACGGCAAAACGGCCCAAUUUUAUGCUAUGUACAUAUAUUGAUUUCAUUAAUCUUUACCAUUUAUUUAUCAGAAGUAUAAGAGUUGGAGACUUAUACCUGUACAUUUAUGUUCUUGGGAAAAUCGUGAAUUUAUUUUUCUAUUUUAAUCAGCAAAAUUACAGCCGGUGGCUAGUGUUUUAUUUAAAUCAACUUCAACAAAUCAGCGAUACACAUCCUGGCCUGCGAGAGGAAAUUGCUAAAGGAUCGUUUGGUAUUAGGAGAACCCUAAAACCUUUCUCGCGGAUCCCAGUUGAUUUAACGUUGGAGCAAACUAUCAAUGGUGAAGCAGCACGUCGGCUCACAGGAAUCGUGAAUCUCACAAAUUCUAUUUCUGCCAGACAACGUUGGGCACGAAAUCACGGAGCUCGAACUCGAAUUAUUUCGCACGUUUUAAAACGUGCAGGGAUGAGUAACAAUAGGGAAGACGUCGCCGCAGAUCUACAUCCAGAUAGACUUAAAGAACAUGAAAAACAAAUCGAAGCUUUCAUGCAUAGCAUCGAGCAGACCACAAAUCCAUUCACUUCCUCGAUAGAUAAAGAUCAACUCUACAAUAUCUCUACUGGCCAGGCUACUACCCCACAAAUUGCUAAUUGCUUGCUAAACGCUGUUUCGUCUGGGAUGUUUCUUCGCGAUCAGUUUAUAACGGAAUGUAAUAUGAAUCCGGAUAGAUUUCACAAAUCUCUAAAGAAAAAUCCGAUACUUACUUUUGCAAGUUUAAAGAAGAAGAAGAUUAUGAAGAUUGGACAAAAAGUUCAUGAGGUCAAACUGCAGCGGGAUUUAUUCGAUAGAUUAUUAGCUCUGUCUCUGAUUAUUAACUUGGAUCUUGAAAAAGUACUGUGUUUUCCAAUAACACUAGUCCCGUUAUCGCUAUGUCAUAUAGAUGGUUCUUUUAAUAAGACUACAAAAUCAGUACUAGUUCAAGAACUCCAAAAAAAAAAUUGAAAAAAUGGAUCAACCGCCACUUCAGAUAGACUGUGUAAUUGUAGAUGGAUUCUUCUUUUUAAACACCUUCCAACAAAUGCCACGCAAUUUUGGAGACUUAUCAAAGAAAAUUUUACAAACACUUGUAAAAUAUUCAGCAGAUAGUGUAGUCAUUAUAUUUGAUCGUUACUUCAUACCUUCGAUCAAAGAUUGUGAACAUGCUCUCUGACGCAAUGUAGAUGACAAAGAUUUUUAUAUUGCUGGUCCUCAACAAAGUAGAACUUCUGAUUUCGCUAAAGAUUUAAAAAACAUAAAGUUUAAAGAAGCAUUAGUAAAAUUUUUUAUCGAGCAUUGGGCUGACCAGGAGAUGAAAUCGAUAAUUGGUAACAAGAAAAUUUUCCUAAUUCAUGAUUUGUGUUACGUAUACUCUGUCAAUGACAAUAAAGUAUCACGCAUGAUUGAUCAUGGACUAUCAUGUCCCGAUCAUGAAGAAGCGGAUACGAAAGCUGUAUUUUUUGCUUGUCAAAUGAAAGAAGACUCUACUGUUACCAUUAGGACUUCCGAUACAGACAUCAUUGUUAUUAUGUUAGCCAAUAUGGAACAUAUGACGUCUUCGGUAAAAGUCUGGUUUGAUCUCGGAGUAGGUAAUGCACGCCGAUAUAUCGACAUUUCCACUCUUUUUGAGAAAUUAGGCCCACUUGUGUCACAGGCACUACCAGCUCUGCAUGCACUGACGGGAUGUGAUUACAACCCAGCUUUUUACAGGCGAGGAAAAAAAAGACCUUUUGAUAUUUUAAUGGGAUCUAUAACUAUGCAAAAAGCAUUUGCAAAUUUGGGUUCUACAGAUUAUGAUAUUGAAGCAUUAUUUCCUACUGUAGAAUCUUUCAUCUGCCAUUUGUACGGAUUAAAAAAGCUAUCUGAUGUCAAUGGUGCUAGAAUGGAAAUUUUUCAUAAAACCUACAAGGUAACUGAUACGUCUCAACCCUUUUCAUUAAAUGUGCGUAACUAUGACGCUUGUAACUUACCACCCUGCCGAUCAGAGCUACAACAACAUUUACUGCGAACGAAAUAUAUUGCGUGUUUGUGGAGGAACGCGCACAAUCGUAUUCUCACGGAGUUGUCGCCAACAGAUUACGGAUGGAAAAACGUGGAUGGAAAGUUGGAGCCGACUUGGUUUGUUGGAAACCAACUUCCUGAAGCGUACGAGGACAUCGUCAUAACACCUAAUAUUUUAGGAGAUACUUCUGAUGCAGAUAUGCAAAAUGACGAGGAAGCUCAAGAAGUGGAAACCAACUUCGACGAUGACUCGAAUGACGAAAAUUGACAUAUUUUUUAUGUAUUUUAUUUUUUCUAUUUUCAUAUUAAUAAAUUAUUAAAUUUUCUAUACAUAUAUAUGUAAACAGAAUUCUUCCACUUUUAAAUCGUCAGAUUAACGAUAUGCCUCUAUAUAAUUGUCAGAUUAUCUUUUGGGAAGACUCUGACAUCAAGUUCAUCCCACUGUAUAAAAAUCUGACGCGCUCGAGUAUCUCAAGGUCACCUUUUUUUACAAGUUUUAAAAUCAAUAAAUGACUUUUGUCCACGUCGAAAUUGUCAGAAUAUUAAAUGGUACACUUUUUAGAGGUUCAUUAACAUUCGCUUAGAAAAUCUGACGCGCUCGAGUAACUUAUUUUUUUUUUUUUAACCUGUCAUUACGGCCUUCAACCCUGACUUGAUUGUCAGAUUAAUAUACAUCGACUAUCAGAAAUACAAUGCGCGUAUAUACCAUAAAUGACUGACGCGCUCGAGUAUUUUCAUGUGACUGCUUUUUUUUACAUUUUUGACACCAAUUUCCCGCUCUUCUCCCCACUAAAAUGGGAAACUUCACCUAGACUUUCUUUUUUUUUUAAAUGUUAUCUUGACAAUCUAGUAAGUCUCCAUGACGCUCCAGUAACUGCAAAUUUAGCACUCCGGGCUCCCCUACUAUAAGAACCAAUAACGUAUCGUGAUAAAGCUUUGCACAAAUACUGUCUUUGAAGUGUGCCAGCUUAUGACCAAAAACUAUCCAAACCGGACCAAAAGCCCCCACUUCGAAAGUAAAGGUCAAUCUGUGAGAUAUGUUAUAGAAUUCUUUGCUGAUAAUAAUAUGCUCGUGUGCCAAAAAUGUACUAAAUAAUUUUCUUAGUCCCCAUAUACACAUACGUAAUAGAAAGAUUUUCGAAUUUUCGGCUGACUUUGUAUUUCAAACAUCGGUAAAUAUUGGGUUGUCAAAAAAGUCUUGCGGUAUUUGUAUUGAAUUUUAUUUAUUUUUAUUUUAUUUUUUUUUAUUUAUUUAUUUUUUUUUUUUCUACUAUGCCGGUCUCUUUCGAGCAAUUCAGCGAUUUUAUCGCAAUUUUCGACGACAGGCCUUCCGGAGCGUGGCGCAUCUUCGACCACCUCUACACCAGAACGAAAACGUUAAAACCAUCGUUGUGUGGUGGAAAUGGAAACUGUAUCGGGUCCAUAAACUGCACAAAUUUUAUUGGUGGCUUGAGAUGCAUUUCUGCCUUUAUCGUAGUAGUACUGUAAAAUAUGCCGUAUUUUCUCUUUAUUUUGCUCCAUGUUUGCGACGCUAUAACUCACGAACGACUUAAAAGAAACGACAAUCAAUCAAACACGUGUUAGCGCGUGAAAUGAGCUUUUCAAAAAAGGAAUAGCAAAAGGUAUAGCGUGACCCGAUGCGACAAAUAAAAUUAGGACUACGCGCUUUCAGCGCCAACUAGCGAAAAUACCGCAAGACUUUUUUGACAACC